AAAGACAGCCACGUAUGCUGGUCAUAUUGGUGCUGAAAGAUGAAAGAGGGAUGGUGGAGGAAAGGGUGGAGAGGAAGAGAAAAAGGCAAGAAGGAAGCAUGAGAGGGUGAGGAGAGAGAUGCUGAGCUCUGAUCUCUGCUUCCCGCACCUGGGAGCAAUUAGAGCUACUCUGCCUGUGCCCCGCAGAGACACUGAAGGGAUGAAGAUGUGACAAAGACCAGGCUAUUUUUUGCUGAGGUUACUGUCACUAAUAAAUGGAAACUCUCCCUUGACACGUGUUCCUGUUCCUUCCAGCGUCUGGGCAUUUUGCAUCCUCCUCCAAAGGCAGCCUUGCCGGUAGCAGCCUCACUCGGAGCUGACCCACACUCCCUCCAGGGAGGCCAGACUCAUAAACAAUUCUGUGAAAUACAGCUGAAAGGCGUUGGGGGGAUGGAGAGGCUCUGCAGGCACCCCAUCCCUCUCCCCACACCAUUAAUCCAGCUCCAGUGAGGCAGCAGCAAGGCAGGGAGCUCCGUCCAUAACCUGGGAUGGAGGCUGGGGAGCGCAGCCAGCGUUCUGGGGGCUGCCUUUCCUGAGCCUCUCUCUGCCUGCACCACUGUGGCAGGAGAUGGGGGAAAGGGAGCUGAAGGGGAGGCAGGGAGAGAGCUGGGUCCUUGCAUCCCCACUGUGAUCUCUCAGCACUGAGAUAAUUGUCUGCCGAUGACAGCUGAGGUCAGGCAUGACAGAUACCUUGGGAAGAGCUCCUGGCUCCAAGACCUCCCUGCAGCAGCCCAGUUCAAUACUGGGGUUCAGAGAGCCCACACCAGCCAUCAGACCCAACUGCAGCUGAAUGAGGAAGCCAGCUUGAAGACAAUGCGCUGGAAUAUCCCAGAGGACUGGAAAUCAGAGUUGCGGUCUCUCAACGCUGAGUUAAGCCCGCGUUGGCUUGAUGAGAUAUUCGUGGCAGAACUUUUCCUGUGCCAGCCUGACACAAUUCCCACUCCCACAGUUCCGAUGUCCCCCACGAGCUGCUCUUGAAGGCACCAUUUGAAGAUGUUGCACCACAUCUUCUCACUGAGACCUCGAAGGGAGCCUGUAACCCUCUGAAGAGAGCUGUGAAAGACGUAGAAACAAAACUAGUUUCCUCAGGGUUGGUGCAGCGAGUGAUGAAGGCAGGGGAGCAGGGACACCUAGGCAGAGAUUUUCUCCCUGUUCAGCUGCUUUGGGCAUUUGGCUUCUUGUUGCCCAAGUUCCUCUAUCCUCAGUUGUGAGAACUGCAGUCCUCAUUCCUGCUCGUGGUCCACAAGCAGCUCUCUUCUGCUGCACCUCCUAGCAGAGACCUGUUUGUAAGUGCACCUAAGCUAGCAGAGACCUGUUUGUAAGUGCACCUAAGCCUGCUUCCCCUACCUGCCCUGACCUCCUCUGUCCCACGACACAGAAACAUUAAAAACAUGAAUGCUAACACUCCUGCAAAUCCAAAAAAAGGGACGUUUUCAGCGUGGCUUCACAUCUUGGGGUUGCUCAGGAGCCAUUUUCAGCACUUCAAGUUGAAGUGCUUUUGAAAAGGAAAAUCAAUGCUGAGGCAGCAUGCCCAAAAACGAGGGGUCAGUAGGCUGGCGUGGGGGAGGUGCAGGUGAUGGAGGAGCAACGGGAGAGUGCCUCCAGUGUGUGAUCCCUCAUUGUGGCUGAGUCACUAACCCUAAACACAUAAAUCAAGGCCAGCUUGGGGAUCACGCCUGCAGGCACGCUCUGUUUGAUCCAGGAAGGCUCACUUCAGCAGCAGCUUUAGGAAAGACUGUGCCAAGGCUGCACAAUGGGAAGGGCUGCUGUGUGUUUCUGUUAGCAUUGACACAUUUGCCCCAUUAUUCAUGGCUGGUCUGCAUUUUGCUUCCUCUUGGUUCCCAGCCUACUUUUUCACUGGGUUUUCAUGCCUUUGAGGCAAGCAGCACUGAAAUGGUGCCAGUCCUUUGUCAAGAGCCAACUGGGCAUACCCUGGGCUUUAGUUUUUGCUGGCGACAGUCCCAGGAGAAGGUGCCUUGUGGUCCUCCAUCGUAUGUGUUGCCUCUCCUCUCUGCUGUCCAGCUCACUAAUCAAUUUUUAAAUCUAUUAGCUGAUUUUUUUUAAGUAGACAUGAUGGAAGAGUAGGGGUCUCAAAGACAAGUGUUAGGAAAACUGGUGUCCGGACCUUUUUCCUCCAUCUUCUUGCAGUGCCAGCUGAAGUGAAAGGCUAUGAUGCAUGAGCUCACUUUUAAUCAGGUAAUCCAGCUGGGAGAGAGCAAUACCAUAACAAUCCAUUCAGGAUUAAAGAAAAGCUUCUGGCAGUCCCUCUCACCAUCCAUAAGACAUUCAUUGUCUCUGCUAUGAGCUGCAGGCUCUUCUCUGCUGGGCAGAGUCCCUCAGGAUGGCCAAGCACUGGGACACUGCCCACAGCAGGAGCCACUCACUUCUCAAGGGGUCCUUAUCCACUCAAACAACACCAGCUUGGGAUUUAUCUUCUGUUUAUGCCCCCAGCAGAACUGAACAAAACCCAGUGGCCAUCCUUCCCAGCAUCCCAUCUCUGCCCAUGCCUUUGGCUUUGCUCAGGUGCCCUGAAAGCAGAGCAGGGUAACUGGGAAACACAACUGCGUUGCCAGGAACAGGUCCUCAGAGUCUUCUGCCCAAAUUGUGGGUUGAUUUGACUGCUCACAAGACACUAUGAAGUUUGAAGGCCAGGAAGAGAGUGGUGCUAUGGGGUUCUCCUCUGAAAUGAGCUACCUGAACCCAGGCACACGUUUGGUCAAGUCAGGCUAGAGUUUCUCCAGGGUGGUUUGGCCACUGCUGAAGCUGCCAGCUGUGCAGGGGGAAAAAGGGAAAGAUUUGCUUGCCUUUCCUCCAUAAAGGCACCACUUGGUGUGUGUCUGCACUGCUUCUUCCCUGAAAUGCAGUGCCAGGAAGGUGCUGCUGCUCUCCCAGUCACUGGCACGAGGAAAGCAAACUGGCUGUCCUUGGCAUUUGAUAUAAGGCUUUCCACAAACACCAGCUAAUGGGAAUUCCUCACUGGUGUCCCUGGGAGUUUCAAUAUUGGAUGUCAAGGCAGACUUUUGUCUUCUCAGCAGGCAGUUGGACCUGAUGUGCUUAACCCUUUCCAGCCCAAACCAGAGGGCAAGGGACUGAGCAUGGCAGGGCUUCAGAGUGGGCUGGGGUCCUGCUCCAGCUCCCUGCUGUGCUUGGCUGC